UUCUUUGCAGUUUUAAUGGAACACUUUUCUAUUAAUUACACAAUACCGAAUAUGCACUAAAAAAUAUAUAACUUCAUGGAAAACUUUAUAUCAGCGAAAAGUCAAUUGAAAUUUAAAUAAAUUUGCAAUUUUUAUUGGAUUUAAAACACAUACAUACAUACGUAACCAAGUGAUAAUAUUAUGGAUUGUUAAAAUAUUGAAAACUGUAACGGAAUUUAAGAAAAUGUACCUGUCGUUUGUUUGAUAUUUGCAAAAAAACAUAAUAUACGAUUCCAUGUUAUACUACAAUUGAUACCUUUUUGUUUUGUUGUAGAGAAAAAUGAAAAAAAUAUCAAAAGUAACCGAAUAAAAUAUAAGUAGGUGAGUACAUAAAAAUAAUAUCUACUUAAGUAUUUAUAAAAUAAUAAAAAAAAAAAAAUAAAAUUUCUUGCCCACAUCAGGCUCAUUUAUUGAUUUGCGUUUGCUUUUACAAAUAUUUACAAACAGUGUGACUAAUAGUAGUUCAUACUUUUUUUCAUUAAGUGUGACAACUAAACUAAUUCAAAAUCCAAAAUAAUGUUUAAUAUUAAGUUUUUACUUUUGUCUCCUUUAUUUUUUGUUCCUCUGUAUUUGUUGUUUAUAUUUGGCAACAUCUUCAAUUUAAGUAGAUAUAUUUUCUUGUUUUUUUUUGCUACUUUUCUGCUCAUAAUGUGAAACUUUUAUAAAUAACACGUGCCACAGAUCAAACUCAUUUUAUACGUCCAUUCAUUCACAGAUACAUUUCAAUGACAGUUAGAUAUAUUUUUUUCACUCCCAGGACUAUUGUUAUCUCUACCUACAUACCACAAAAAAAUAUUUAAAUUUUACUCAUUAUGAGGAGCUUUUUAGUACAGAACUAUUUUUAACUUCCUGAUAUUUAUAAAAUUUAUCCUAUUUUAACUCCCACAACAUUAAUGGGUUAAUUUCGAUACGUAUUUACCCCCUUAUUCAUAAACACAAUUUUAUUUUAUAAAAGA